CAUUGGACGGAAGCAGCGGCGGCGUGACAAAGAAAAGAAGGAAGCGGCGGCGUGGUCCUCUGCAUCCUCGGUCGUCUUCUCCUGAACAUCUGCCCAUCUCGCUUCACCAGUCCACGCCCGCAGCAAGCGGCACGCCAAGGCAGCCUUGAUCCUUCUUUCUUGUGGCCAAGGGGGGAAUCCAUGCCGGGGAGCAACAUGCACCAAUGAAGUUCCUGCAGAGCAGAGCACGGAGACCAUGGUGGCCGUCACGGUCGCCGUGACCGCUGGCGCCGGAUUUCUUCCUCCGGCAGCAAAAAAAAGGUUCGCGCGCGCCAACUCCUACAGAUAGUGUGCGGGUUCUUUGGAUCGAGUACAGAGUUGGGAAAUUUGUUGUGGAUUUUAUGAGAUUGAUAUACCUGAGGCGUGGCCAUCUGCGUCUUUGAUUAUCCAUGAAGCUGCUCAAUAUAGAUGUGUUUUUUUGUCUGGAUACAUGCACCAGUUCCGCUCAGCACUGAUUCAUAUACUUUCGAGGUAAUUUAGGUGAACCUGGGUGAUUAAAUUUUGUCGUACUUCCAUGCUUGGUGGCACCAGAUCAAUUCAUCUCUACCACAUGACCUGAUGCUCUGUAUUUUUUGGGACUUAUUUGUCUUCUAGAAGAAGCUAGCUUUGAUGGAUUUAGGUGUGAUUUAUCUAGAAAAGGAAAACUGUACGAGGCAAGCCAAUGGCAAGAAAGACAAACAGGAUGAUGCCGGACUGUUGGAAGCUGACAUGCUGGAUCCAUGGUGGGCUGGUGCUUUGCAGAUGAAUCGACUAAGAGAUUUGUGCGCUCGCCCAACAAGAAGGGACAUGUCGUCGACCUCUGCGAGCAAGCGAUGGUGGUGAGAGUCUGCAAUAGAGAACGGACUUGAAAACGGCGUCCACAGAUUGCAUUGUCAGAGGCGGUACCUUGUAGAGGCAAGGCCUAUGGGGCGGCAUCUAGGCCCUGAUGACGGCAACGGUUGUUCUUCCGGUGCAAAAGCACCAGAGUCGAGUUAUGUCACCACCAUGAUGAUGAACGGCGACCCGUCUUUGAAAAUCAAACGAGCGGAAGCAGAAUGCCUCCUUUUAUACCGACGUUGCAUUGGCAUGUGGCCAUGUCUGUGUCCUUGCGCACUUCUGCUGUGUUGGAUUCUGAUUUCAAAAGAGAAGAGAUGAUCCUUUUACCUGGUCCUAUUUGUAUACAACUCAGAUUGACGCCGCCGCAAAGCGCAAAGCCCUGUCCAGGUGCAACUACUAUUUACCACCGAUCCUAGGGCUCAUGGAAGGUCAGGUCGAUGGCGGUGGCGGCUGUGGCUACCUCUAUGCGGGGAUGCCCGGCUCUGUGUCAUCAGUGGUCUUCUCCACAUAGCAGACAUCAUGUCGUCCUUCUCGUGAACGGAUGGGGAUGCCACCGCGUCUUCGUCCAGAUCGUCGACAUCAAUUGGACGAAGAUUAAUUGGAAAGCAUGAUGAAGAUUAAUUGGAAAGCAAGAACACGUGCAUGUUUUGCCCAGCAAGAUUAUGACCAGAUUGCAGGCGGAUUUGUUCUCCACCAAGAUCAAGCACGACCUAUUUAAACAAACAGGAGAGGUUGUAGCGAGUUUGUUCAUGCUGAUGUUUGUGAUUUCGCUGCGUCUUAAAAGAAUAUACAUAAUGCACCAGUCAUGCAAGGAAAAUAGUUUAAAUAAUAGUUUUGGCAGCAACAAAUAAGAUGAAUACGAUCUGCCAUCACAAUGAAACAAGAGAAAAGUAGUUUCUUGCAGUCAUUGACGAGGUAAGCAGAUGUAUGGGCUUGGUCUAUUUAUUCUUUUAUUUCGCUAUAUCUUACGCACAGAUUAAACUUUGCUUUACCUGAUCUAAAUUUAAUUUUUUUUACUGAUCGGAGUUUGGGGAAGUUUUUCUCUUAAUGCUUCAAGUUAGAUCUAAAUUCUCUUUUAUCUAGGUAUAUAUGGACUGUAGUUUUAAUUAUGUAAGAAAUCCACGCAUGAAGAUGCACUUAAUUUAUUGGUAUUUCCACAUGCAUUAUUUACCUCUCAAAUUUUCUUAGUAAUAAUAUAUUUUAAAUUUUGAUUGUAAACUAUGAUUAAUGUGAAAAUUAAAAGCAAUUUGGGAGAAAAGUGCCACUCGAUUUGAACUCUAUAAAAUUAUGUAUAGGAAACCAAAUUAAUUUUUAUAGAACUGUGUAGAAUCAAAGCAAAAAAAAGAGGUGAUCAGUAACGACAUGUAGAAUAUUUGAAAUUAUGCAAAAAGCGCAAUAUACAUAUGCGUACAUGUGACAACAUUGGCUCACUGAAUUUUUGCUAAUAGCAUCAUAUGUCAUGAUAUGUUGAAAUUCUUUAAAUACAUUUACUAUCUACUACUCCCUCCAUUUCUGAAUAUAAGUGUUUUCUAGAGAUUCCAAUGUAAACUACAUACGGAGCAAAAUGAGUGAAUCUACGCUGUAAAAUACAUCUACAUACAUCCGUAUGUAGUCCAUAUUGAAAUCUUUAGAAAGAAAUAUAUUUAGGAACCGAGGGAGUAGAUCGUGGAGCCCUCGGCUGCCCACAGGUCCUGAUGUGGUGAAGGGGGAUGCCAUAGACUAGAUGCUCACGCGGCUGGGCCUCGACAAGGAGGCCCUCUUCACUGUUGUGUGCUCCCCUAGGCCGACAAUGCUUGUAAGCCACACACAAACCGAGGCUGCCACAUGGCGUCGGACGGUUGGGCUUCAUGACACAGCCGAGGCAGAUCCUAAGUAUAGUCUUAGGCAACAAUGCUAGCGUUUUCAUGUCGCCAAAACACUCAUGAAGCCGGCCCACCUACACUGGGAAAGGCAAAAAACAGUGGCUCAUUGUGUCGCUACCAGGGAUCGAACUCACAACCUCCUAGAAAAUUUCCAAGGCUGCAACCAAUCAAGCUAGACAAUGUUUCUGUUUAGUACCCCUCAAAAAAAAAGUUUCUGUUUAGUACCACCUCGCUUUAGUACAUCCCAUAUCACCAUUUAAAAUAUAUGUGUGUGAAAACUGCACCUACGUGGAACCUGGCUGCUCGAUGGAUUAUAUUGCCGUAAUGAGAAAACUCAUGCACACAAAUCGGCCCAAUGACUCCGCAUCUCUCAAAAAAUAGAGAAAUACAUGAAGGAUAAUUCAAGGAAGGAUUGAGAAUUGUUGAGAAAAUUAGGGACAGAAAUAUAAGCAAGUCAAUUCAAGGAAGCAUUGCGAAUUGAGGACAAGUCAAUAAUAUAGACUGAGAGAAAUAAUAAAGGAAGGAACGGGAAUUUGAGGGAAAAGUCAAUAAAGACUGAGAAAAAUAAUAAAGGAAGGAACCAGAAUUGAGGGAAAAUUGUGCCAAAUUUCCAUGAUAUCCGUACGUGGAGGCUAAUCUUCUAUUGUAUUUAAGUGGCGGGCUAAUAUUGAAAGCGUCGACGUAAUGCCGGGAAUGAAUAUAUGUUCAACUUUAAGAAGAAAGUUAUGUCCACGACUACAUUGGAUGUUUUUUUCUCCAUUGCGUCUUUGGUAUGACCGAGUUGAACAACAGAUGCCGGUCACUGACAUGCUCCUCUACUAGACAUCAUCACGUAGAAGCUAGCCUCGCUCAGCCCAGUUCCACCAGUCACAAUGCAUGAGGAGUCAGACUCAAAUUUCAUGGUGUUUCCAACACAACUACUUGAUUUUCCCUACUAUAUUAGCCAAAUGAUAAUAAAUCUUUGUCCAACGUUCUUAGUCUAGCCGAACACGAAGGAUGCUAAACCAUCCAGUUCUUGGGCCUGGCCAACCUUGCUUAGUAACAAUUGGCAAAUCCUGUUUCGUUUUAUCCAGAUGCCCGCUCCCUUUGUAGACGCGGCGGAUCAGGAGAAGUGAAGGGCGCGCCCUUGCCGGCGGACGGCUACAACUGCGGCGGAGCAGGAGAAGUGAAGGGCGCGCCCCUGCCGGCGGAUGGCUACAGCCGCGGCGGAGUAGAAGGGGCACCAGGGGGAGCGGCAGGAGACCCCACGCCGGAGUAGAAGGAGCAUCAGGGGGCGCGGCAGGAAGCCCCACGACGGAGUAGAAGGAGCGGCAGGAGGUACCACGGAGGUGGUGCUUGGGGCUCCGACGAACGAAGGCGAGCAGUGAUAGAGGAGAAGAUCCGCGGCGAUGCUCUGAAGGCCAUCAGCCAUGGCAGUUGUGGCUGUGCGCGCACGCAAGCGGCUGCGCGCGACACGUCGGUGUGAGAAAUCGGCAAGCCUUUUCCCACAUCGUUCAAUUGAUUAUCUAAGAUCAGAUAGAACGAGCCUUCCACAAGGACAGUGGCGCAUCGAGAGGAUGGUGGACAGUGGCGCAUCGCCGGCGCGGAUGAGGAGAUUGGAGCAGAGAGGGUGGAGAUGGAGCCGUGCGGGGCUGGAGAAGGAGAUUGGAGAAGAGAGGAUGGUGGACAGUGGCGCAUCGCCGGCGCGGAUGAGGAGAUUUGAGAAGAUAGGAUAGAGCCGUGCGGGGCUAGAGAAGGAGAUUGGAGAAAGAGGAUGGAGCCGUGCGUGCGCUGGAACGGUCGGCGAAGAGAACGGAGUAGUGGGUGCACGGCUGGAACACAGGCGGGCCAGCUCGUGUGGGCGCUGGAUGAUGGAGUCAUGGAGAAGAGAGGAUGAGCCGUGAUGGAUGUGGAUAAGGUCACGGGAGGAGAAAGAUGGAGGCGGUGAGGCACGUACUCCUCAAAAGGAUCUCUCUCGGGGUGGGGUGGGGAUUGAAUGCAUGUUGCAACUGCUCCUUUCUUUUUCUUUUUUUUAGGGAUGUUGCAACUGCUCGUAUGUGCACGCACUGGCUAAAUCAACUCGAUCCAUGAAAAUAUAGAAAGUAUGGACGCGGAUGCAUCUAUAAAUAUAGAAAGUAUGGACGCGGAUGCAUCUAAGUGUAUUCUUAAAUGUCAACUUUUUAUCACGUUGCAAACAAGUUCGUUUGACAAAAAAUUCCCAUGAUGCACUAUGCUUAGAUAUAACAUUCAGUUUUCUCCCGUUGCAACGCACGGGUAUUUGUGAUUUUCGUCCGACCGUCACAAAGCUAUUUUCAUACGUGCUCAAUUACGUACGCAAGCUGGCCUCUCACACGUAAUGUGGUAUGAGCACCUUCUCCUCGCACGAUGCACUACUGGGCUUCUUAUGGGCUAGAAGCCACGUCUCAGAUUUUAUUUUAUAAAAUAUGAUGCAUGCAUAUCUUUUGUUGAAUAGUCCCACCUUGCUUUCUUAUACUAAUUUCCACCAAUUUAUAAACACUUGUAACUUGCCUGAAAUAUCAACAAGCUGGCCACGCAAAGAGGGUACAUAAGAUAAUCCAUUGGCAGAGGGAUUAAAUAAACGGAGGGCUGGACUACAUGCAUGGCGUUCCUCUGUUAGACGUGAGCCAUCCAUGAUGAAGUAUCUAAACUGAAUUUCAGGAUUGUGGGCUUGGAUGUGCACUGCAGACAAUUUAAACGGCUACACCGAAAGAAGAGACGCAUGCUUACUUAUUAGCUUGAUUGCAAUUGGAAUGAAGUCUGCAAAACGCGGUCCUCUCUUCUCCUGCCUACGAGUGCCCAAAGGAGGGAACUACUCACUGAACUACUAACGUGUAUUGAGCAGGCACUGGAUGGAGAGCUACUGAACUACUCACUGAACUACUAACUCCUUGGUGAGCAGCGACAGCUGCAGUAGGAUAUCUGAAUCUGUCAUUCGCAACCUGACGGAUGGAUAACCAACCGUGAAUAGUAUAAAUACCGCCAUAUUAUUUUACAAGAAAACUAAAGAAGUAUGAGCGUGUGAAAUCAACCAAAGCUCAAGUCACAUCAGUACAAUUCGUCCUCUAAUUCAUAUAAUUUUGCUUCGAUUAAAUAAUUUUUUUAAUAUGAGUAAAGGAUCUAUGGAUGAAGAUACAAUAAAGUUUAUCGACUCUUUUUUUGGGGGGAAAGUAAAUGAAUAAAAUUAAAAGAAGACAUGUUGUUGUCCUGUAUUUUGACCAUGUAUAGGUUUAUUCUAGAGCCGUAGCAACGCACGGGUCUUUUGCUAGUCUCUCCCUAAUAAUAAAGCACGGAUUGGGUCUCCGGGUUCACCGUCGCGGCGUGUUUAUACAAAAGUCCUUGAGUUUUUCUAGAAUAAACCCGCAAUCCUAUUGUUAAGUCAACUCGGCGGUAUGGGGAACAGAAAAAAAAAACACCCGGACGACGGGACGAGGCACGACCUUGCCUCCCAUCUCAACUUCCAGCGCCCCGCCACCACCGGCCCCGCCCCUCCGCUGCGUGCCGCCACCACCUGCUCGCGCCGCGCGCCGCCCUGGUCGCAGCCAUCGGCCUUGCAUCGCCUCAACGUCCGACACCUGAAUCUCGCAAGCUCGCAACACACCUGCUCCCUUGCCAAGUUUGUCCAGGCGGCCGCCAUACUCGCUGCCAUUGCCGACUUCCCCUGCGGCGCCAAUCUCAAGAGCCCCGACAACUUCUCCGACAGCUUGAUUCCGUGCAUCUCGGCUACAUUACUUCAAGGAGGAGGAUGACGAUGAGGCGUAGCUCCUGGACACGGCCGCCUGUCCCGGGGACGGCGGGGAGGUCUGCAGCGACGAGGCGGAAAUUUAAUUCGACCUCACCUCGGGUUGCCGGCCUCCCCCAGUUCCUGCUGCCGGCGGCCUCCCCAAGCUCCUGUCGGCCUCCUCCCCGAGCCCCAAGCACGAACAAGGUACCGUGCUGCACACCUGAAAGUCACCCAGCUACUCCCUGUAAGCCAAAUCCCCUUUUGAAAUUGAGCAGUUGAGCAAAUUAACUAGGAAACCUUGACACAUGCUUGCAUCCAGUAGCUCGAUCUGCUGGUGCUAGGAGGGGAUUACCAUUAGAGGUAAUUCGAUUGGAAAGAAUUCCUUCAGUCUGUAACCCAGUUUAUGCCUCAAAUAACACGUAGAUCUAUUGAUUGAUUCCUGACAUCAACGCACUGAAUGGGCUCAGAAACGGAGAAGUGCCAUAGUGUAGUGUGGGGAUCAGCCUUUCUGGAGAUGCAUAAGUCAACAAUAUUCUGUAUUAUUGGAGCUAGCUUUUCAUCCAUAAAUUCUAAGGUCACUUUCCUUCUCUUUCUUUUCAUCUGCAAUUUUACGCGACCCCUUUCUUCAAAGUUGUUUGCUAAUGUAUGAGCCCAAUCUAAAAUUAAUUAGGCUAAUGGUGAGUGUUUUAGUUUCCUAGAUGGUGAUGCUUCUGUUAUGGGAAUGAUGUGCUUUCUAUUUUCAUGUCUAGACUUGGUUUCAUCUUUGUUCACAAGGUGAACUCCACUAAAUCUUUAGAUGUUUAUACAUUCACUGCCCACGCAUAUAUAUCCCACUCUGCUUUUUGCUGCACCUCCAUGAAUACAGAGCUCCCGUGGAAGCUUGGACAAAAGUAAGAAGUAAACCGCAGGCUUAAAAUUGCAAGAAGCAACCUGCUUUGAUUCAAAUAAUUUUGGCAGUCUGCCCAUCUAUUAGGAGAAAUAUGUGUCAAUUAAUUUCUACAGUAUGCAGCCAUGCUGUUUGAUUGGUCAGAGUUUCUCUUAGUCUCUUCAGACUCCAAUACAGUUGUUUUUCGUGGCCCAAAAACUGUUGCAAAGCAGAUAUAAGUGGUGAUGUAGCCUAGAACAGAAAAACUAAUCUGAAAAUACCUUUCCUUGAGAAAUUGGAAAUGUCGCUUGGAUUGGAAAAGCAUAGCUAGAUAAUACUAAUUAAUUCCACCCUUGGCAUGAUCAUAUUCGUGUAGGCUGUCCUUUUGGUCUCCAAACAUCGACAAUCAAUUUUUUUCAUCUAUAGAUUAUUGAGCAUAUGACGGGUAUAUGAUGAAAUACACGCGAGGCAGGAGUGUAGCGCCUGACGGUGGCCGCGUGUUUCUCCGCAUCUACAAACAGGCUCCUGGAUCAAUCCGGCAAAUACACAAUACGUGCAUGGCUCGAUUGAGAGCUCCCGCACCUUACAUGCCAGAUCACACUCCAACCAAUACACGAUGGAACAUCCAGUGGAGAAGAAGGUGAUCAGUUGGUUCAUGCGGAGCAACUCUUCAUGUUCAGUUCCUCAAUACAGUUUCUACAGUGAUUCGGGGCCGUUGUGUCAGCGGACAGCGCGGGCCAGUGAUUCUCCAGGGGCUGGCGAUGCCUCUCACCUAUUCAUCUCCAUAGUCAUGCCCAAUCUUCUAGUUGUCAUUCACCAGGCUCUUCAUCGACCUCAGUACGACCCUACAAACCACCAGCAUAGAUAACCUAUCUACUUCCUAGAUAUCCGUUCUACGUGCUAUUAGUUAGUCUUCUCUAUAAUAUGCAUGUAUGUCUUCUUUAAGGUUUUUGUUUUGUCGAAAUUUGAUCGUUCUAGGACAGGUUUGAUCCUCUGUUAACCAUUUAACUUAGACGAGCAAAGCUUAUCUUACUUUUUUCAAAGAACAAAAUUAUUUUACUUAAUUACUUGGUUGAAUACCAACAUGUGCAGAUAUGCUUUGAGCAGACUCAUGUACGUGUGUUCCUGGUCUGCAAGUGAAAGGUUCAGAGUCAUCUACUGCUUCUAGGAAAUAUUGCUUUCUAGAAGUGUACCGCGUAAUCUAAGCAAAUACCAGUAUCCAUAACCUGGCACGUACAAGGCAUCGAAUCCGAAUGAAUAUGUUAUAUGCUGACAUAUAGUAGUUUAGGAUGUAAUGGUUUGGCAUAGGAGUUUCUCAGUUUUGGUUUUAUGUUGUGUUAACGGUUUUGCACAAACAUAAUCGCAUAGCUCUGAAUUUGGGUCCUCGGGAUCAAAAUAUUACUGUUAUAAACAAUCUAAUCAUUUUCCUUUGGCAAGGAAGGUUCUUUGGUUAUCAUCAGUAGAAGCGGAGUUGGAUUCGUUGACAAAUGUUAAUGAUGGUCAAGGAUUUUUCUCUCUCAACGAUGCUUGAUUGAUCUUGUGGUGGCAGUUCUAUCGUGUUUCACAUGGCUGCAUCUUACAGGUUUUGCCGCCUCGCUCUGCAGCCUUCAAGUUGUGGUUGUAUGAAGGAUGAACCUAUGUCUCAUUUUUUGAGGGUGAACAUAUGUGCCAUUUCCUUGCUUUAAUAGUUUA